GUCCACGCUGUAAACGAUGUCUACUGGCCGUUGGCCUCCUUGAGGGGUUAGUGGCGUAGCUAACGCGAUAAGUAGACCGCCUGGGGAGUACGGCCGCAAGGUUAAAACUCAAAUGAAUUGACGGGGGCCCGCACAAGCGGUGGAGCAUGUGGUUUAAUUCGACGCAACGCGAAGAACCUUACCUACUCUUGACAUCCUGCGAAGCCUGUAGAGAUAUGGGCGUGCCUUCGGGAGCGCAGAGACAGGUGCUGCAUGGCUGUCGU
rnacentral:rRNA from 1 species